rnacentral:rRNA from 1 species
AUGGUGGUGCGAAAGUGUUGCGGCUUGGUUUGUGAGCUACAGACCUUAUCAAGCAGCAAAGUCAUCUCACAUAUGCCGACGACGAAGAUCCAUAUUUAUUGGCUGAGGGAGCAACAACACAAUUCUGAUGAUUCUGCCAAUGUUGCUUGUUUGUUCUAUUGUCACUGUUUGUUUGAUGCUCUUUUGGCAGCCAGUGUCAUAAUUGUACUUACGUCUAAAUUGCUCUCUUUUCAGAUUUACUUGCAAGGACCAGAGGGUAUGCUGAUGCUGCGCAGGCACUUGAGCUAUUUACAGAAGGAGGGGACCCGACCUUCUUCAUGUCUUGUGGCUGUGUCUUCCUUUGAUUCAUUCGUGCAACAAAGAGGGGACCUGGCCUUCUUCAUGUCUCGUGCAAAAAGGGUGAUUGACACUGUAGGGGUGAUUGACACUGACUACGACAGCCUGGUGGGCGUCGUGCUCUUCAACCACUUAGAGGUGGACUUCGACGUGAAGCCCAACGACCGCGCCGCACGGAUGAUCGUCCAUGUGAUCACGAUGCCGGAUGUCGCCGAGGUGGAGGACCUCGACGCCAUCUUUUGGCGUGAGGGAGGAUUCGGGUCCUCCGACGUCUGA